GGAAUUAAUUAUUUUUUAGUAUUAAAUUUCACGAAACCAUUUGAGCUAAUUUUUAAUUUUAUUUUAGAAUUUAAAUUUAUCGUAGUAUAGCUAAAUAAAUAGUAAGAAUUAGGGGUGAAAGGCCUAACAAAUUUGGGGAUAUCUUGAUAAUAAGGAAAUAUAUAUAGUAUGUAAUCAACCUGAAAAUGGCGAGGUUAUCAGGAGUUAUAAUUUUUGAUGUUUUGUAGUUGGAAGUUAUAACAGAUACCAACCUAAUUAACUUAAUAUUACUAUACUUUUAUUAUAUAAUGUAUACUUAGUUGAGCUUUAAUAAUUAAAUUUUGUUUUAAAAAUGAUUUCAUUAGUAUUAACUUAAAUUUAAUUAAGGAACUCGGCAACCAUAAUUCUCGACUGUUUAUCAAAAACAUAGUUUUAAGUUUGUAUUUAAAAUUUAACCUGCUCAAUGAACUUUAAAUAGCCGCAGUACCUUGACUGUGCAAAGGUAGCAUAAUCAAUUGGCUUAUAAUUGAAGUCUAGUAUGAAAGGGAAUUCGGGAAGUCACUGUCUUAAUUAGAAAAUUAUAACUUACUUAUUAAGUGAAAAUUCUUAUAGUAAGAAAAAAGACGAGAAGACCCUAGAAAUUUUUUUAAUAUAUAAAACUUUUAUUUUGUUGGGGCGACAGGGUAACAAGAAACUUACCUGAUUUAUGUGAAACUUUUAAGUUGUACAAACAAAUUACUCUAGGGAUAACAGCAUAAUAUUUAAAAGUUUGUGACCUCGAUGUUGGACUAGGGAGUAAGAUACUUAGAAGGUAACUUAAUAGGCUCUGUUCGAGCUAUUUACCCUACAUGAUCUGAGUUCAGACCGG
rnacentral:rRNA from 1 species